rnacentral:rRNA from 1 species
AUGGUCUCAUCUCGUUUGCCGAGUACAUCUUCUUUGUUACAUUACUCAGCAUUCCUGAGUCAAGCUUCAGUGCGGCCUUCAAAAUGUUCGACGUUGAUCUCAGUGGACGUGUUUUGUUUACUGAAGCUGCUAAAGUUAAUUUCUCUUGUCGCCCAGAAAAAAAGACCUGCUCUUUAUGAGCAUGUUCAAUCAUCUGGCUUGUUAGUUGAUGGUAAAACAAGGGUAAUGAACAAAUUUUGGCAAUCUUCUUCUCGGUUGUUUUGUUGUUCUUAUCUGUCGAUUCUCAUCAUUUCCAGGGAGAUAGACAAAGAAGAGUUCAAGAAAGUAAUGGCAUUGAUGCGGUCCUAUAACAGACAAGGAGCUGCCCAUAGGCAUGGCUUACGUACAGGAUUUAAAGUUGGCCAGUCUGUGGAAAAUGGUGGGGUGGUUGAGUAUUUCUUUGGUAAUGAUGGGAAUGAACCUUUACACUUUGAUAAGUUCACAAGUUUUUUGAAGGAAUUGCAUGAAGAGAUUAUUCGUCUGGAAUUCAGUCAUUAUGAUGUCAAGUCGACAAACACCAUCCCUGCAAAGGAUUUUGCACUGUCCAUGGUUGCUUCUGCUGACAUGAAUCACAUUAGCAAGCUACUUGAUAGAGCUGAUACGUUGGGCAAUGACCCUUAUCUCAAGAACUUGCGCAUUACCUUUGAGGAGUUCAAGGCAUUUGCUGAUUUACGUCGAAGAUUGGAAUCAUUGACGAUGGCUAUAUUUGCUUAUGGUCAAGUAAAUGGGCUGCUGACAAAGCAGGAUCUGAAGCGUGCAGCUCAGCAUGUCUGUGGUGUUGAAUUAACCGACAGAGUGGUAGACAUCAUUUUCCAUGUGUUUGACAUGAACAAUGAUGGGCACCUGAGCUCAGAGGAGUUUCUGAGAGCACUACAAAGACGAGAAGCCGAUAUUCAUCAGCCAGCGGCACGAGGAGGUCCCAUGGGCUGGCUGAACCCUAAAAACCGCUCUUCGCUUCUGCAGAUGCUGCGCUAG